UAUUUAUUUAGUCAAUUGUUAUUAUUCAUAUUAAUUUUUUUUUAUGUUUUGUUUUUUUAUGUGUGUUUAUUUAUUUAAAAUUUUAUAAUUAUUAAAUUUUAGGAAUAGUUAAUAAUAAUUUAUAAUUUUGAUUAGAUAGGUUUGAUAAUGCUAUAUAAUAGGUGUGGAAAAAAAUUAAAAAAUAAAAGAAAUAAUAAAUAUAAUAAAUAAAAUAUAAUUAGUCAGUCAGAAAUGGAUGCCAGCCGUUGCGGUAAUUUCUAUGCUUUUAAAUAUUAUACAUUUAUCAAAUUAAAUUGUUAUAAUCAAAUUUAACCAAUAAAAAAUAAAUAAUAAUAUAUUUUAUUUGUUUUUAAACACCAUUUGGUAUAUGCAAAUAUAAAAUUAUAGUAAUUAUAUAUUAUAUUCUAUUAUAUUUAUUCAUAUAGAUAGUUGUGUUGUAU
rnacentral:ncRNA from 1 species